rnacentral:lncRNA from 1 species
GGAAAAAUUAACGGCAGUUUAUUUGGAGUUUCUUAUCUCCAGUUAUAAAUAAUUUAGUGACUGUUGCUCAAGAAAAUAGCUUGUAGUGAAUUUGUGAUUUUGUUGCAAACAUGGUUAAAACUAGUUAAUGAGAUACUUUUCGAGUUCUUAUGAUCUUAUUUGUGAUUUCAAUAUUUUGUUUUAAUUGAGUUCAGAUUCAAGUGAGGUGAAUUUGCUAAAUAUGCAUUAUGUUCAUGGAUACUUGGCCGAAAUGGCAAUUACCUAGGAAUGAUUUCUUAAAAAUUUGAAAUAAUCG